CGGGUAUCUGGGACUUCGAUUUAUUUUGAAUCGAUGCCCUACCGUCUUGAUGAAUCAACAGAUUCUGUUGGGGCUUUUCUCAUGAUGGAUAUGGCUCACAUAAGUGGUCUCGUUACUGCAUCUGUACUUUCCGACCCAUUUGAAUACUGUGAUGUUGUAACAACCACCACUCACAAGUCAUUACGAGGUCCCAGAGGUGGCAUGAUUUUCUUCAAGAAAGAUCCUGUUCUUUGGG